UACGUAGGGGGCAAGCGUUGUCCGGAAUCAUUGGGCGUAAAGAGCACGUAGGCGGCCUGUCAAGUCGGAUGUGAAAACCCGCGGCUCAACCACGGGACUGCAUUCGAAACUGGCAGGCUAGAGUCCAGUAGAGGAAAGUGGAAUUCCCAGUGUAGCGGUGAAAUGCGCAGAUAUUGGGAAGAACACCGGUGGCGAAGGCGGCUUUCUGGGCUGUGACUGACGCUGAGGCGCGAAAGCUAGGGGAGCAAACGGG
rnacentral:rRNA from 1 species